AAAAAGUAGGGAGUAGCUUGUCCUGGUGGCCGCAUGGCCUCCAUGUAGCAGUCUUCACUUAAAUUUAGUGCAGGGUGUACAUGUGGCUGUAACUAGUAGGCUGGAAUUCUAUGAUCAGUUUCUAUAAAUUGACUGUUGGAAACUGAUUGUUGAGGAAUUGCCUUGGUGAAUUAAACUGUGUCAUAUGGGAAACAAUGUAGCCAUAUGGUGGUCAGAACUAAGGACUUAAUUACAACUGCUUUGGACAUCCCCUCCCCCCUGGCAUCUGAUUACCAACCCC